rnacentral:tRNA from 1 species
GCUUCCAUGGUGUAGUGGUCACUGCACUUGCUUUGCACGCGGGAGACCCGGGUUCGAUUCCCGGUGAGGUA